rnacentral:tRNA from 1 species
AUGUUGAUCAGCGUGGACUUGCCUGCGCCGUUGGUGCCGAUGACGGCAUGGACCUCGCCCUGGUGCAGAUCCAGGUCCACAUU